AGGACAUCGUCCCUUGAUUCCAAUAAAAAAAGAUCCCGGUGGUUCAGAAUAUCUUGCUCCACCACCAUCACCAUAAUCCCCCAUCGUGCGAGAUGUCCCAAGAAAGUAGUAACUACCAUGUAAAAAGGGUGCCAUCUCUAGCCUAAACCUAGCACCGCCAUGCCACACCGCCGCCUCUGCCAAGAUCCUGCUCCUCCUCACCUCAGACUCACUGUAGCAGGUCCACCCCCCUCGUCCGUCGGCAUCCAACAGCAGGCCCGGGGACGCUGGCCUCCAGGCGGCGGCCUAGCCCCACUUCGGCCGCCUCGACCUGCAGCUCCGGCACACGGUGCACUCCGGCUGAAAGGGAAGAUGACGGGUGGCGAAGUGGGCAACAGAUCCGAACUGGACAUCGCACCUUCUCCUACUGAGAUCGUAGUGACAUACGACCCGACAGGAAACAAUGGUAGAAGAUGAACAAGAUCGACGAGGAGGACAAAAGGUAUUGAUCAGUUAGGCGCUCUUUUAUUUGUAUGUUUGCUGUCCUUCUCGUUCAUACUAAGAUUGAGAUCCACCUUUCUGUAUGUUGUUGUUUUAUUGGUCGCCCACUGCAUCAAUGUUAUUAGAGACAGGGGGGAUAUAUGCCCCUGUGACGACUCCCACCCGGCCCUCCAUUUGCUCGCCGGCAUCCUCUGUCUCUAAGAACCCGACGUCUUGCGACCAAAAAAUCCUCCAAGUGUCCUCCGCCAUGUGAAGCUCGUUUCCAUCAGGUAGGCUGACCUCGUGCUUGCCACUGUCGACCAGCAGCAAGGCGGCAAGUUCAUUUAUAUGUGAGUCGAUCUACUUUUUUAUUUUAGUUUUUCUAUCAAUUCGUUCCAAGUAAGAAUUGGAGCCGCUCCCAUGAUGCGUACUUAAGUGUGGAGGAGAAUCUUGACAUUGUAAUUUAGAUUAUCCUAUUAAGAUAGGACAACGCUGCUUUGCCGGGUUUUUUUUUCUGAACUCUCAUCUGUUUACUGAUUAAACAUUUAGACUACUACAAUUUAAAGUAGAUCUUACACAUAGCUUUCUUCGUUGUUUGCUCCCAAAUUAUUGGCACUCAUGUAUGCAGGUUCUUGAUAAAAAGCCUCUGAGAAUAUCCUGAUAGAAUAAGAUGGUCAGUGUUCUUAACACAUUUUUCUUUUUCAUGCAGUUAAUAAUGCUCGUGUAUCAACUAUCAAAUCACCUUCACCCUCCACCCCUCCCAUAACUAAAAUUAAGAGCUUUGCACCCACGUUCUAACAUUUCUUAGAAUUAACAUGGCUUCUACUCUAAACGGAGAGAUCAACUCAUACAUGCAGUUUCUCACCUGCAGAAACUUUUCUCAUGUUGUCUGAUAAAGAGCACCGUGGAUGGAUAUAUUAUCAUGUUUGAAAAACUUCUAUGUGCGGAUUUUGAAGGCAGUUGCCACAAGGAUGAACUAGAGAAGCAGAGAAAGCAAGGAGCCAUUGUUCCAUUAUCAGCAUGUAGAAACUAAAAAUCAUAUAGAUAUGUUUCACCUACUUUGUGACAUGUAAUUGUUCAUAGGUGAUGUGUACAAUUAAGUUUGUAAGCUACUACUACUCUUAGUAAUACAAUGUUAUUAUUUUGUGCCA